UACGUAGGGUGCGAGCGUUAAUCGGAAUACUGGGCGUAAAGCGUGCGCAGGCAGUUUGUUAAGACAGAUGUGAAAUCCCCGGGCUUAACCUGGGAACUGCAUUUGUGACUGGCAAGCUAGAGUAUGGCAGAGGGGGGUAGAAUUCCACGUGUAGCAGUGAAAUGCGUAGAGAUGUGGAGGAAUACCGAUGGCGAAGGCAGCCCCCUGGGCCAAUACUGACGCUCAUGCACGAAAGCGUGGGGAGCAAACAGG
rnacentral:rRNA from 1 species